rnacentral:lncRNA from 11 species
GCUAAUCGCAGAAGCCUGAGAAUCGCAGCCAGGCAUUCAGCUGAUUAAGACUGCUUUCAUGAGAACCUUUAGGGAGUCAUGCAUCUGGACACAGAGAUUGACUUUCGGUUCUGGUUCCCCAGAGAAGUGUUCUUUGGUGGGAAAACGAGACCCUAUUUAGGUUCCUUGCCCCGUAGGAAUCUUGCGGAGUCAAUUCGUCAGCUACCGGAGUAGGUUGUGUGUGGACAGCGCUACUCCCGUUUCCAAGCCUUCGUUCCUGUUUCCAGCCUUGUUUUGCUUCGCGGACCUUGCCUUGCUACCUAGGACUCAGCCUUGCUUUCCAGGACCUUGCCUUGCUUCCCGGACCUUGCCAAGUGUUUACCACGGAUCUUGUCCCUGUUCCUCGUUGCCUUGAAUCAAGCUUUGUGUACCAAGAAUCAAGCUAUUUCCUUGCCUUGCCUAAGUUUCAUGGACUAAAGGACCUUGUCAUCUCCCCUCACCUUGCUUGGCAAGUGAGUGUUUCGGUUACUGGAUUACAACUUUGGACCUUACUAUUUCAUAUUGGACAUUGUUUUCCUGGACUAUAUUUGACCUUUCCUGAAAGGUCAUCUUCUGAACUAUAUUCUACACUUAUUUUUAUUGCCUUUACUUAUUUCC